rnacentral:lncRNA from 1 species
AAAGUCACCACCCACUAUGACAUCCACAUAUUAAGAGAGACACUGAACCUGGCACAGGAUUGUUCUUGCUCUGAUUCUGUCCAACCGUGGUAGAAAUGUGCCAACCUUUGUUGGCAGAUAUGAGACCAGCCUUUGUCUCACCC